GGCUCACCCCGCCCCCUCAGCCAGGGUUGCGUGGUUAUUUUACCAACACUGGGGGGGCUUGAGGUAGAAAAGGGGUGGAUGGAAGCCUAGAAGAUUUUCUUCCCACCCCCAGUCCCCUCCUUUCUUCACAUCUUUUAACCUUCAAGGAUAUCUUUAUUACAUAGAUUGUGUACAUAUGUUUGUCAUCAAAUCAUCAAGUCAGCACGUCCUAGAAAGAACAAAUGAAGACUGUUUCCUAGAAGAUUAUUUGCCAUAUUUGAUGAUUGCUU
rnacentral:lncRNA from 1 species